UAGUAUAAUUGCUCUUUUCCUAUGUUUUUAUAUAGUUAUGGUUACAGACUCUCUGUCUCACUACACUCAUAUCUGGCCAAAAAAAGACAAAACACAAAAUAAAGAAAUUUAAUUUGACUGGUAGCAUUAUUAUAAUUAUUUCAUGAACAUUUUCUAUAUAUACCAUAAAUCAUGAAUUCCUUUGCCCACGAUAAUCGUGUAGUGAAAAUCUGAUAUUGUGACAGCCCUAUCAUGUCCUUAGUUACUUCUGUUACUUCAUGUAAUUGCCGGAAUUCCUAAAUUUAAGGUGAUACUGGGCAUCAGUAAGAAGCACAUAAAAAUAGGAUCAUUUUACUUAAAAUGUGAUACUCAGGCCUCUGAACUCUGUUAUAACAACUGUAUGUUUUUUCUUAGGAUAAACAAACAGCUGGGCUUGGUUGAGAGACUCCAAGGCACCGUAUUGGAACUGAGAUCACAUGGAGAGACUGAGGCAUCAUCACCUGCUGAUCCAGAAAGACUGAACACAAAGGAGGGAUCACAUGACAAUGAGGAGACUGUUGCAUUGUCCCCCCCCUGAUCCCAAUGGACCAAACACAGAGGAGGGAUCACAUGACAAUCAGGAGAUGGAGGCAUCAUCACCUGCUGAUCACAAUGAACCAGACCCAGAGGAGGUAUUACUGGGGGAGAAGAACACAGAAGGCUGAAGGAUCUAAAGAGUUCAAUUUGAAUAUUUUUUACCUACAGUCCAAAGUUUCCUAGGUCCUGUUGGAUCAACAAGUUAGCCGUGUCAGCGGUCCUCAGAAUAUCAGCUGCACAUGCAUACAGUAUAAGCAGAUGUUCAUCUACAGAGCAGCACCCUGGGAAGGACCAUUAUGUUGUAUCUAUAGUCAAAAGGAUUAAGUCAGCUGUGAAAAUCAAUACAGGAUCCUUCAUGUCAUCCUGUUUCUUCUAAACUGGACCCUGUACAUCAUGCUGUUGUUACUUGGUACUUUUCACCAUUUUUUAUGUGCUUCAGAAAACCUGUACAGCAUAAAAACUUCUAUACUUAAUUUUAAGAGACACCGUUUAAUAGGAGAUUGUCAGGGUCAGCUAAUGUUGUCCCACUCUGUGUCCCUUCCCUGUUUGGCCAGCAGGUGUUGCUGGUCAUCCUGUCCCUCGUGUUCUCAGUCUUUGCGGUUGCCUGUGAAUCCCUCUGUCGCAUGUUCGAAUCCUACCCCUUCUGUUUUUGUAUUUUGUUCCCUAGUGUUUCAUUUGUAUGAAUUGUUCCUGUGUCUGGUGAUUUUUUUAUAUUCUGUUUAGGUUCCUUGUUUUGAGCUUUAGUUAUGUUUUAUCUGUUUUUGUUAUUCCCAGUGUUAGAGUCUGUUUCCCUGUUUCUUGGUUAGUUCUUAGUUUGCCUGUUUAGUUCCUUUGAGUUAAUUAGGUUCACCUGUGACUUGUUUUCCCAACCUUGUUGAUUAAUCUCACCUGCCCCUUGUUAGACUUGCUCUGUAUUUAAGUCCCAGCCAUGGGUGUAAAUCCCGAGGGGGAUGGAGGGUUGCACUUGGAUUAUAAGUGAAACCGCAGUUACUAGGUUUGCUGUUAUGGAAAGCCAAUAAAUUGGAGGUUCAUUGUUUAUACCUUAAAUGGUGAACCUCCAAUUUAUUGGCUUUCCAUAACUGCUCAGUCUUCCUACAAUGGUGUCUAACCAUCAUUUAACCAGGGAGAUGUAUUAAUAACCGAUCUAUGUCUAAUUUUAAAAGCGGCAACUUUGCAAACAAAUUGCUACAAUGAUUGUUAAAACACUGAACCAUCAUGUCUACGUUACAAUUACUGAUAACCAUGGUAUUGCUAAAUGAAUUAGCAAACCUAGUAACUGCCGUUUCACUUAUAAUCCGAGUGCAGCAUUCCUGUGUAACAACUGUAAAAUCAGAAUUUAAAAAUAUAUUAAAAGAAAUAAAUGAUCUGUGGACUCUAAGUCACUCAAAUAUGCCCAACAAUUCGGAACAUUAGCUAAUACAGUGUUCACUAAUCUUUAAAAUGUAUAGCUGGUACAUUUUUAAGUCCAAAUUCCAUAACUGUACACUGGAGAAAGUUACCAGGAAUUACAAAGACAGACGUCUUACUGACUGUAUUAGGAUGAAUUCGUGGACGAUUACGUCACCCACGUGACAUGGAAUUAACUUUACUAUAAUAUUCUGGAAAGUUGUAAUUGUGGAUUAAUUCCGAUCGCGUGUGGACUGAUCGUCCUGAAAUUCAGAUCAAUCGUCCAUGAUUCACCCCGAAUGUUACUAAACUGCACGAACAUGUUAUUUACCGAUCCGCUGUAAAACCUAAUUUUGCCAUAAAUAACUUGGGCUCAUAAAGAGAAGCCAGGAUGCUCAUCUGGGCCUUUAGAUCGGCAUGCAGGAUGCUUAUCUUGGUUUCGGGAGAUAGGGUGGGGGGUCGGUAUACAGCACACUGUAUUGCCUUUAGGGGGGAACAGGGAGGCAUUGCGCAAGGACGCCUAUUGUAGUAUGUUAUCGCAAGCAGCAUCA